AGUGAACGCUGGCGGUAGGCCUAACACAUGCAAGUCGAACGGCAGCACAGUAAGAGCUUGCUCUUACGGGUGGCGAGUGGCGGACGGGUGAGGAAUACAUCGGAAUCUACUUUUUCGUGGGGGAUAACGUAGGGAAACUUACGCUAAUACCGCAUACGACCUACGGGUGAAAGCAGGGGAUCUUCGGACCUUGCGCGAUUGAAUGAGCCGAUGUCGGAUUAGCUAGUUGGCGGGGUAAAGGCCCACCAAGGCGACGAUCCGUAGCUGGUCUGAGAGGAUGAUCAGCCACACUGGAACUGAGACAAGGUCCAGACUCCUACGGGAGGCAGCAGUGGGGAAUAUUGGACAAUGGGCGCAAGCCUGAUCCAGCCAUACCGCGUGGGUGAAGAAGGCCUUCGGGUUGUAAAGCCCUUUUGUUGGGAAAGAAAAGCAGCAGGUUAAUACCCCGCUGUUCUGACGGUACCCAAAGAAUAAGCACCGGCUAACUUCGCG
rnacentral:rRNA from 1 species